rnacentral:lncRNA from 1 species
GUUGUGAUGAUAAGUUCCCAUCCGAUGACUGUUUGGAGAAGGACCGAAAAGCUACCAUGUCUCUGCAUCCUCGGCACCAUGGUCUGAGUUCAACAGAGAUUCUGUGCCUCAUCCUGAACGUGUUCUUGCUCUUGCACCAAGGAAAAUUGUCAGCGAUCUCUGUGAUCCAGGAGCCCAGUGUCAUUGUGUCUGAAAUAGAAAAGAACAUCACGCUGAACUGCCUGUUCACACACACACCUGAGCAGAAGUGGGAAGACAACAGGAAGUUCCACUGCAUGCUGUCAUAUGAAAAAUCAGGGCAUGGUGCUAGGACCAGAGGGAAAGGAGUCAAACUUCUACUCCACGGGCCUAUGAUGUUCAAUGUUUCCUCUGAGUCAGAGAAUGAUCUGCUCUGCAACAUCACAGUAUCCUCUAACAGUGGUUUUCAUCUGACUGUGCUCUGCAAUGGGGUGGAGGUGGCCAAAAGUCAGAGCGAAAUCCGUGACAAAUUUACAGUGCUGUCAGCUCUUGUUCAUGAGCACAUGGAGUGCGAAUGCUGCCUGAACCUGGACUCCACCGUGGUCUUGUCUCGGUCUUACAUCCGGAAGUCUAAAGAGGACCAGAGGGCAGAUCUCCCAGAACCAGUGUUCCUCUAUGCUGCCAUCCUCUCAAUCCCCUUCAGCAUCACUCUCAUUAUGGUCAUAGUUUUCCCCAUUUUCGGGAAUAGAAAAAGCAAACAAAGCAAAAGAAAACCUUAAAAGUUUAAAAUGUAUCCCUCUGCAGGUCGAUUGACGUAGCUGUGGGUUUAUAGUGUCCUGGAUGGUUACGUGAUGUAACUGUGAAACAAUGUAUAGAGGGCUGUCAUUUAGCAGGAUCAUCUGUGCAUUUAACAAAAAGUUAAGGCUGAACGAAUACUUUCUCUCCCUGUCUCAUCAUUUCUUUCAGUGCAGGAAUAUAGCUG